rnacentral:rRNA from 1 species
UACAGAGGUCUCAAGCGUUGUUCGGAUUCAUUGGGCGUAAAGGGUGUGUAGGUGGCGCGCUAAGUCGGGUGUGAAAUUUCGGAGCUUAACUCCGAAACUGCAUUCGAUACUGGCGUGCUUGAGGACUGGAGAGGAGACUGGAAUUUACGGUGUAGCAGUGAAAUGCGUAGAUAUCGUAAGGAAGACCAGUGGCGAAGGCGGGUCUCUGGACAGUUCCUGACAGCUGAGAAGCACGAAGGACCCAGGGGGAGCAAAACGGGG